GCUGACACAUCCCUGCCAAUCUCCAGCAGACCCUCCCUCCCAGACCCUCCUACUUCCUGGACAGCAUCCAUGUUGAAGGCAUGGCAGCUUCAACAUGGAUGCUGUCCAGGAGGUGGGAGGGUCUGGGAGGGAGGGUCUGCCGGAGAUUGGCAGGGAUGUGUCAG
rnacentral:miRNA from 1 species